rnacentral:rRNA from 1 species
CGGCAGCGCGGGGCAACCUGGYGGCGAGUGGCGAACGGGUGAGUAAUAUAUCGGAACGUACCCUGGAGUGGGGGAUAACGUAGCGAAAGUUACGCUAAUACCGCAUACGAUCUAAGGAUGAAAGCAGGGGACCGCAAGGCCUUGUGCUCCUGGAGCGGCCGAUAUCUGAUUAGCUAGUUGGUAGGGUAAAAGCCUACCAAGGCAUCGAUCAGUAGCUGGUCUGAGAGGACGACCAGCCACACUGGAACUGAGACACGGUCCAGACUCCUACGGGAGGCAGCAGUGGGGAAUUUUGGACAAUGGGCGCAAGCCUGAUCCAGCAAUGCCGCGUGAGUGAAGAAGGCCUUCGGGUUGUAAAGCUCUUUUGUCAGGGAAGAAACGGUGGGGGCUAAUAUCCUUCACUAAUGACGGUACCUGAAGAAUAAGCACCGGCUAACUACGUGCCAGCAGCCGCGGUAAUACGUAGGGUGCAAGCGUUAAUCGGAAUUACUGGGCGUAAAGCGUGCGCAGGCGGUUUUGUAAGUUUGUCGUGAAAUCCCCGGGCUCAACCUGGGAAUGGCGAUGAAGACUGCAAGGCUAGAAUCUGGCAGAGGGGGGUAGAAUUCCACGUGUAGCAGUGAAAUGCGUAGAGAUGUGGAGGAACACCGAUGGCGAAGGCAGCCCCCUGGGUCAAGAUUGACGCUCAUGCACGAAAGCGUGGGGAGCAAACAGGAUUAGAUACC